AUUGAACGCUGGCGGCAGGCCUAACACAUGCAAGUCGAACGGUAACAGGAAACAGCUUGCUGUUUCGCUGACGAGUGGCGGACGGGUGAGUAAUGUCUGGGAAACUGCCUGAUGGAGGGGGAUAACUACUGGAAACGGUAGCUAAUACCGCAUAACGUCGCAAGACCAAAGAGGGGGACCUUCGGGCCUCUUGCCAUCGGAUGUGCCCAGAUGGGAUUAGCUUGUUGGUGGGGUAACGGCUCACCAAGGCGACGAUCCCUAGCUGGUCUGAGAGGAUGACCAGCCACACUGGAACUGAGACACGGUCCAGAUUCCUACGGGAGGCAGCAGUGGGGAAUAUUGCACAAUGGGCGCAAGCCUGAUGCAGCCAUGCCGCGUGUAUGAAGAAGGCCUUCGGGUUGUAAAGUACUUUCAGCGGGGAGGAAGGGAGUAAAGUUAAUACCUUUGCUCAUUGACGUUACCCGCAGAAGAAGCACCGGCUAACUCCGUG
rnacentral:rRNA from 1 species